UUUAUUUUCCAUGUUUUUAUUAAUCGCUCAGGUUAGUCUAAUUCCUUGUGUUUAAUUAAUCACCGGAAUAAUACAUUCCCUUGUAUCUAUUUGACUCUGAGAAUAUAUCAUCCUCUGUACAUUUAACUGGUAAAAUUAAACACAAGAUUAAUUAUAUAUAUAUAUAUAUAUAUAUAUUUAUUGAGCCGAUAGGCUCUUAGUAUGGGCUUUUUAGGCCGAAAAAUUGUCAGUAUGCCGUGAAAUUGUCAUCGCGGCGGCCGGAAAGAGGGUUUACCAGUCCCGGGAAAAGGCUAUGCACGGUUUGUUUUUUCAAUUUUUUUCGCGGGUUUCGUUGGAUCGGUUGGCAAGGCCGUCGGUUUUAGUUAAUUGAUGAAUUAUGUCUCGCACACGAUGGGAGUAAUUGUGUUGUUUGUCGUGCUAGGAUCUCUUUACUCUUACCUACUCGCAAAAACAGCUCUUCUGAUGGCUCCAUUUUCGGUGCAGUUUUUAUGUACGUUUCAUUCUCUGCUCUAAAGAAAUUUCUGUGUGGAGGAGGCUCUUCACCUGUUUUACUCUUUACAAACAUUUGUUCCCUCGCAGCAAUGAAUUAUUUUGCAACAGAGGCAUUUGUUUUACCCUUUCUUCCUACAUAAUAUCCAAGAUUGGAGGCUCAGGAAUGGAUAUGCGAAGAAAAGAAAGAACUCUGUCAGGACCCUGUGAGUAGCCCAAAAGAACUACCCAAAUGGAAUUUCUAAGGAUCCAACACUGGUCAAGCAACAGGGCAUGCCAAUGAAGGCUAACCUAGGAUGGCAUGGUCUUGCGAAACCAGACAAAGACAAGACAUUAUGAGAUUCAUUAGUAAAGCCAAACUGAUUCAUUUUCUAUGGCUAGUUUAGGAAUUGAUGAAUGUUAUGUACAGACGUUCUGAGUCACAAUACAAUGAUUCAGAUAUUUCAUAAUGUUUUCAGAGGUGAUGAUGGAAUUUACCCAUUUUUCACUUGGUGUAUGACUCAAAAUAGAAGGUUACAAUUAGCUUAUGUCUAAUUCUCAUUAGAAUUAGCUUUCAUACGAUUUGAAACAUACAAAAAAUUACUAUUUCAUUUGUUGUCCAUUUAUAAGAUCUCAUCAGUGGUUAGCUAUAGCCUGAGUUUAAUUAUUCUUAGAAGUCUUAAGACUUUUACAUCUGGUUUUGAACAAUACCAACUCAACGGUUGUAUGCUAGCUAAUUGUUAGUUUCUGCAACAUGAUUGAUAACUUAGAUCCGAGCUGUGGGGGUUUUGAAGGGUUUUUGUUACUGGUAAGUAUUAAGCUUGUGAAGUCGUCUAAUAUUUGUUGUGAUUAAUUUUUUAUUGGGUAAUUUUCUUUCUCGGUUAAGUUUGUAUUGAAAAGGAAAUUUUUAUUCUUUGUAUCUAAAUUGUUGAAUUCUAAUCAAAAUGUAGUUAGUUGCAAAUUUGGAUCUGUGGUGGUCGAUUGGAGAUUAUUAAUUUUAAUGGGUUUAUUUUCUAUAUAAAUUUUAUAUCCAAAUCAAAAUGCUUUAGUUACAGAUUUGCUUUUUUGAUUGUAGAAUGCAAUUUAUAAUGAUUAUCUUUUAGUGGGUGGCUAAUCUUUUUUAAUGGAGACUUUGCGCUUAAAUGGAAGUUCAUAUCUGUCUGUAAAUUGGGACUAGAUUUGGAAUUAUUUUGAUUAUUGUAUAUAUUUAAAUUGAAGUGCCUUUAGUUGCAGACUUGGGUCACCGGUUACAGAAUGCACUUAUAUAUCUAUCUUCGUGAUAGGAAUUUUUUUAAUGUUUAAAUCAAAGUGUACCGAAUGACAGCUUUGGAUUUAUGGUUGUAGAUAGCAAUUUUUUAUAAUAGUUCUCAACGACUACUUUUGUUUAUGUAACUCUAUCGAAAUCCAACUGUUUAGAAUGUGGAUUUGGUUUUGUAGUUGUAGUUUGCAAUUUAUUUUUUUAUAAUGGGUAUUUUUUUGAAGAGAAAUUUUGAACUCGGAUCAAAGUACAUAUAAGUACUGAGUAGGAUUUCUGCUUGUAGAUUGCAAUUUAUUUGAAUUAUUCUAAUUGUAAGUUCUUUUUUCUGUGUAAAAUCUGUAUUCAAAUCAAAUUGCACUUAGUUGCAGACAUAGAUUUCUGGCUGUAGAUUGCAGUUUAUUAUUAUUUUGUUUUAAAUGUUAGACUUUUUUUCCUACGUAAACUUUGUAUUCAAAUAAAAUUACAUUUAGUUGCAGGCUUGGUUUUUUGAUUGUGGAUUGCAAUUUAUUAUAUUUUAAAAAAAUGGAUUGCUUACUUUCUAUAUAAAGUUUGUAUUAAAAAUCAAAGUAUAUCUAA